CAAGUGUCAACCCUAGCACGCAAGACAAGUCUAUAGCUUCAAAUAUGAAGUGAUAUAUUCUUUGUAAAGUGCAUUUGUACAUAUCGAUCGCUAUAUUUGUAGAUGUGAGAAAUGGUAAAAAGGCGUUGUAGCAUGUGGGCCCACACUAGCAGUAAUGAGAUAGAUUAACAUGUUUUCGAUUGAUAUGUCGGUUGAAUCUUCCAUCACCAACAACGAUUAUGGGGGUGGUGGACAGAAGAAAUUAUUUAGGAUCUCUGUAGGUUACGACACUCGGGAAGAUCUGGCUUACUAGGUGUGUCGGUAUUCGAUCCUCAAAUGAUCUUUGAUUCUCGUCAAAGUUAUCCCGAUCAAGCAAUCUAAAUGACGCGAAGAUCUGGCUUACGAGGUGUAUCAAUAUGUGAUGACUGGCAGUUAAAGCUUUUGAGUUUUAUGUAUUUUAAGUUCGCUGUGAUGAACACACAAUCGAAUCUUCGAUGAACACACAAUCAAAAAAUUUCUGGUGCUUGAAAGCUUUUAUUAUGCUUUUAUAGGUUUUGAUUUUUUUGUGUUUGUUUUAAUGAACACACAAUCAAAGCUUUUUAGUAUUAGGCUUGUU